rnacentral:lncRNA from 1 species
AUGGUGAUUCCCAUAGCAUUUUACUUGAUCCAUUCUGAGAUGUACUGUAAGAUCCGUGCUGCCAGGAACAGCCAGGACCAGAUGGGACUGUUGUACGAGGCUUUCAACUCAAGAAGGGAAAAGGUGGAUAUUAUGACUACAUUGGUAAGUAGUGUGUUUGUGUCUGAUGUACCUACAUGUCUGUCUUUGUUCCUGUCCGUCUGUUUUGGUUGCAAGAUGAAUUUAUAUUCCCUCCCUUCACUAAAUAUAAACUGUAUAUUUUAUAUUAAUAUUUUAACCUUUUUUAACUAGGAAAGUCAGUUCAGAACAAACUGUUAUUGACAUCGACGGCCUCCCAAAAGGCUAAAGGACUCCUGCUGGGACGGGGCCUGGGAUUAAAAAUACAAUACAAAUAUAGGACAAAACACACAUCACGACAAGGGAGACAACACAACACUACACACAGGGAGACCUAAGACAACAACACAGCAUGGUAGCAACACAGCAUGGUAGCAACACAUGACAACACAGCAUGGUAGAAACACAACAUGGUAGCAACACAGCAUGGUAGUAACACAGCAUGGUAGUAACACAGCAUGAUAGCAACACAUGACAACACAGCAUGGUAGCAACACAUGACAACACAGCAUGGUAGCAACACAGCAUGGUAGUAAGACAUAACACAGCAUGGUAGUAACACAGCAUGGUAGCAACACAGCAUGAUAGCAACACAUGACAACACAGCAUGGUAGCAACACAUGACAACACAGCAUGGUAGCAACACAGCAUGGUAGUAAGACAUAACACAGCAUGGUAGAAACACAGCAUGGUAGCAACACAGCAUGGUAGAAACACAGUAUGGUAGCAACACAUAACACAGCAUGGUAGCAACACAGCAUGGUAGCAACACAUGACAACACAGCAUGGUAGCAACACAGAAUGGUAGAAACACAACACAGCAUGGUAGCAACACAUGACAACACAGCAUGGUAGCAACACAUGAACACACAGCAUGGUAGCAACACAACACAGCAUGGUAGCAACACAGCAUGGUAGAAACACAUGACAACACAGCAUGGUAGAAACACAUGACAACACAGCAUGGUAGCAACACAUGACAACACAGCAUGGUAGCAACACAGCAUGGUAGCAACACAUGACAGCACAGCAUGGUAGCAACACAGCAUGGUAGCAACACAGCAUGGUAGCAACACAUGCACAGCACAAAGGUCAAGAAGGUAGAGACACCAAUACAUCACACAAAGCAGCCAAUGAUUAUUUCAUGGGUAGACCAGAGGAACCAGGCUCUGAAGGGUGACCAGUCCUCUACUGGCUGUACUGGGUAGACCAGAGGAACCAGGCUCUGAGGGGUGACCAGUCCUCUACUGGCUGUACUGGGUAGACCAGAGGAACCAGGCUCUGAGGGGUGACCAGUCCUCUACUGGCUGUACUGGGUAGACCAGAGGAACCAGGCUCUGAGGGGUGACCAGUCCUCUACUGGCUGUACUGGGUAGACCAGAGGAACCAGGCUCUGAGGGGUGACCAGUCCUCUACUGGCUGUACUGGGUAGACCAGAGGAACCAGGCUCUGAGGGGUGACCAGUCCUCUACUGGCUGUACUGGGUAGAGAGGAACCAGGCACUGAGGGGUGACCAGUCCUCUACUGGCUGUGCUAGGUAGAGAGUGUCGUGUCUUUGGCUAUGCCGGAUUAAGUGAUAUGACAUGCUAACCUAUAAAAUUCUUUCUCUGUAAUUAAUAUUAC